UAGGCAUCUUAUUUCAUGAUAUUUCAUAAAACCUUAUUACAUGAAAACUAGGGCAAUAAUGGCGGAACUAAUGCUAACAGAUGUAUCAAUUGGUGACCUACAGACAGUACCGAUCAAUACUAUAUUGAGAACCAUGGCAUAUUGGAACCAUAAGAAGGGAGAGGAGAGGGCCAAAGAGGAAGAAGGAGAGGAAUUGAUAGAGAGAGG
rnacentral:lncRNA from 1 species